GUGGGUAACCUGCCCAGAAGCAGGGGAUAACACCUGGAAACAGAUGCUAAUACCGUAUAACAGAGAAAACCGCCUGGUUUUCUUUUACUGCUUCACUUCUGGAUGGACCCGCGGCGCAUUAGCUAGUUGGUGAGGUAACGGCUCACCAAGGCGAUGAUGCGUAGCCGACCUGAGAGGGUAAUCGGCCACAUUGGGACUGAGACACGGCCCAGACUCCUACGGGAGGCAGCAGUAGGGAAUCUUCCACAAUGGACGCAAGUCUGAUGGAGCAACGCCGCGUGAGUGAAGAAGGGUUUCGGCUCGUAAAGCUCUGUUGUUAAAGAAGAACGUGGGUGAGAGUAACUGUUCACCCAGUGACGGUAUUUAACCAGAAAGCCACGGCUAACUACGUGCCAGCAGCCGCGGUAAUACGUAGGUGGCAAGCGUUAUCCGGAUUUAUUGGGCGUAAAGCGAGCGCAGGCGGUCUUUUAAGUCUAAUGUGAAAGCCUUCGGCUCAACCGAAGAAGUGCAUUGGAAACUGGGAGACUGAGUGCAGAAGAGGACAGUGGAACUCCAUGUGUAGCGGUGAAAUGCGUAGAUAUAUGGAAGAACACCAGUGGCGAAGGCGGCUGUCUGGUCUGUAACUGACGCUGAGGCUCGAAAGCAUGGGUAGCGAACAGAAUUAGAUACCCUGGUAGUCCAUGCCGUAAACGAUGAUUACUAGUGUUGGAGGGUUUCCGCCCUUCAGUGCUGCAGCUAACGCAUUUAAGUAAUCCGCCUGGGGAGUACGACCGCAAGGUUGAAACUCAAAAGAAUUGACGGGGGCCCGCACAAGCGGUGGAGCAUGUGGUUUAAUUCGAAGCUACGCGAAGAACCUUACCAGGUCUUGACAUCUUCUGCCAACCUAAGAGAUUAGGCGUUCCCUUCGGGGACAGAAUGACAGGUGGUGCAUGGUUGUCGUCAGCUCGUGUCGUGAGAUGUUGGGUUAAGUCCCGCAACGAGCGCAACCCUUAUUACUAGUUGCGCAUUCAGUUGGGCACUCUAGUGAGACUGCCGGUGACAAACCGGAGGAAGGUGGGGACGACGUCAAAUCAUCAUGCCCCUUAUGACCUGGGCUACACACGUGCUACAAUGGAUGGUACAACGAGUUGCGAAACCGCGAGGUUUAGCUAAUCAUUCUCAGUUCGGACUGUAG
rnacentral:rRNA from 1 species